AUUGAACGCUGGCGGCAGGCCUAACACAUGCAAGUCGAACGAGUGGCGGACGGGUGAGUAAUGUCUGGGAAACUGCCUGAUGGCGGGGGAUAACUACUGGAAACGGUAGCUAAUACCGCAUACCAUCGGAUGUGCCCAGGGGGGAUUAGCUUGUAGGUGGGGUGACGGCUCACCUAGGCGACGAUCCCUAGCUGGUUUGAGAGGAUGACCAGCCACACGGGAACUGAGACACGGUCCAGACUCCGACGGGAGGCAGCAGUGGGGAAUAGUGCACAAUGGGCGAAAGCCUGAUGCAGCCAUGCCGCGUGGAUGAAGAAGGCCUUCGGGUUGUAAAGUACUUUCAGCGGUGAGGCGUUACCCGCAGAAGAAGCACCGGCUAACUCCGUGCCAGCAGCCGCGGUAAUUC
rnacentral:rRNA from 1 species